AACGAACGCUGGCGGCAGGCCUAACACAUGCAAGUCGAACGCCCCGCAAGGGGAGUGGCAGACGGGCGAGUAACGCGUGGGAACCUUCCCUGUGGUACGGAAUAACUGACCGAAAGGUUGGCUAAUACCGUAUACGUCCGAGAGGAGAAAGAUUUAUCGCCAUAGGAUGGGCCCGCGUCGGAUUAGCUAGUUGGUGAGGUAAUGGCUCACCAAGGCGACGAUCCGUAGCUGGUCUGAGAGGAUGAUCAGCCACACUGGGACUGAGACACGGCCCAGACUCCUACGGGAGGCAGCAGUGGGGAAUAUUGGACAAUGGGCGCAAGCCUGAUCCAGCCAUGCCGCGUGAGUGAUGAAGGUCUUCGGAUUGUAAAACUCUUUCGCCGGGGAAGAUAAUGACGGUACCCGGAGAAGAAGCUCCGGCUAACUUCGUGCCAGCCGCCGCAGUAA
rnacentral:rRNA from 1 species